rnacentral:lncRNA from 1 species
AUAAGUUCAAUGUAAAGGUGUCAAAUGGGCCAUGUUGGGCUGGUUAGGGCCGUAUAGAGUCAGCCCAUUUAAUCAAUAGGCCAUACCGGGCCCAUCCAUGUAUGAAAAUCCUCAAUCUCGGCCCUAGCCCAUAUGGGCCUAAUUACCUCAUCUCGGUCAGCCUAAUGAUACAGGUCGUGCCAUCUGGGCCUUAUUUAAGCUAACCAUACUCAUGCUGUGUUCGGGUCUGCCAAG